rnacentral:rRNA from 1 species
AGAGAGAGACAUGCGCGCAUAUCAAUAAGCGGAGGAAAAGAAACUAACAAGGAUUCCCUUAGUAACGGCGAGUGAAGCGGGAAGAGCUCAAAUUUGAAAUCUUCAAGGUUCUACCUUGACGAAUUGUAGUUUAUAGAAGUGUUUUCUGUUAGUGGAGUGGCAAAAGUUCUUUGGGAAUAGGACAUCAUAGAGGGUGAGAAUCCCGUAUUUGGUCAUUCCUCCUAGCGUUGUGAUACACUUUCAACGAGUCGGAUUGUUUGGGAAUGCAGUCCAAAAUGGGUGGUAAAUUUCAUCUAAAGCUAAAUAUUGGCGAGAGACCGAUAGCGAACAAGUACCGUGAGGGAAAGAUGAAAAGAACUUUGAAAAGAGAGUUAAACAGUACGUGAAAUUGUCAAAAGGGAAGCGUUUGACACCAGUGUUGUUUUUCCGAAAAUCAAUUACGAAUGUUUUAUUUUUGAGGAGUUAUGACUUCAUCGGCUUGCUCCUUUCUUUAUGAAACUUUCUUAAUGCACUUUUCGGUUAACAAGUCAACAUCAAUUUCUUUUGUUGUAAAAGGGUAUGAGGAAGGUGGCUUUCUUUUCGGAGAAAGUGUUUAUAGCCUUGUGCCUCUGCAAUCGGAGAGAUUGAGGUCUGCAGCGUAGAUCCUUCGGGGUUAGAUACGUUUGUGCUAAGUUAUAGCUUUUCAUAGACAACUUGUUGACUAUGUUUAGUCUUGUAGCUUACUCGCUGACGCUAUUUUACCUACGCUUAGGAUGUUGAUAGUCACAGCGUGUAC